UACGUAGGGCGCAAGCGUUGUCCGGAAUUAUUGGGCGUAAAGAGCUCGUAGGCGGCUUGUUGCGUCGGUUGUGAAAGCCCGGGGCUUAACCCCGGGUCUGCAGUCGAUACGGGCAGGCUAGAGUGUGGUAGGGGAGUCUGGAAUUCCUGGUGUAGCGGUGAAAUGCGCAGAUAUCAGGAGGAACACCGGUGGCGAAGGCGGGACUCUGGGCCGAUACUGACGCUGAGGAGCGAAAGCGUGGGGAGCAAACAGG
rnacentral:rRNA from 1 species